AUCAGUUAUAGUCAUCUGUUCGUUGAAUUAACUCAUCUUUCCAUAUCUUAGUUCUCGAUAUGAAGUGGUUUUUCCUUAUCUUCAGUCUGAUAGCGCUCGUCUAUGGAGUAGCCCAAGGACAAAGAGGCUGCGUCUGCCCGUACAACUAUAGUCCCGUUUGUUCAACGACAGGAAAAACGUACAGUAACAGAUGCCAAUUAAACUGCGCACGUGCUAAAUUCAGGCGCAAUGGAAAAUGUUAAAAAUAAUUGUUUAGAUAUAAGAAACGUAAUAAAUACUACACUUUCUUCAUGUUAAUACAAAAAAUACCUUUUACGAGGCUUAACACUAGAAAGACUGGCAUUUUCUUUUACCUAAAAAGACCAACACCGUCAUUUUGGCGCUAGUAUAUCUAUCAUCGUUUAUAUGAAAUUAUUGUUAGAAUUAGUGCAAUAAAAUAUGAUUUUUGUUAAAUAAAUGUUUUUACUUCUAAUCAGAGAUAAAAAUUUGUGCAAAUUAUUGUUUUUUUUGUGUAUGUUGUAGGUAGGUGAUAUUUAAUUACCUACUUAAUAUGCACAUAACUGGUAAGUAGGAGAUGCUCGCCCCGGACCGGAUUCGAACGUACGCCCUUUGAAUCGAAGGUAGAUGUCAUAUUCACUGGGCUAUCAGGGCUCUUGGAUUCAGCUGUAUGACAAAACAUGUACUUACUCCUAUGACAGGAGCGUAGGCUGACAAAACUACAGCUUUCAUAACAUAUGUCUGGCUAUCACAAGUCUAGAAUAUACCGAGAACACGGAGAGUGGAACGUAGAACUCAGUCUAUAAGCACCUAUAAGGUAAUACAAAAGUCUUGAACUAAUCGAUACCUGCUUACAAAUUUUCCUUUUCAACAUUUUAAAGAUAUUAAAAUAAAUAAAGAUAUUAUCGAUA